rnacentral:rRNA from 1 species
AUUGAACGCUGGCGGCAUGCCUUACACAUGCAAGUCGAACGGCAGCGGGGGAGAAGCUUGCUUUUCCUGCCGGCGAGUGGCGAACGGGUGAGUAAUACAUCGGAACGUGCCCUGUAGUGGGGGAUAACUAGUCGAAAGAUUAGCUGAUACCGCAUACGACCUGAGGGUGAAAGUGGGGGACCGCAAGGCCUCAUGCUAUAGGAGCGGCCGAUGUCUGAUUAGCUAGUUGGUGGGGUAAAGGCCUACCAAGGCGACGAUCAGUAGCUGGUCUGGGAGGACGAUCAGCCACACUGGGACUGGGACACGGCCCAGACUCCUACGGGAGGCAGCAGUGGGGAAUUUUGGACAAUGGGCGAAAGCCUGAUUCAGCAAUGCCGCGUGUGUGAAGAAGGCCUUCGGGUUGUAAAGCACUUUUGUCCGGAAAGAAAUGGCUCUGGUUAAUACCUGGGGUCGAUGACGGUACCGGAAGAAUAAGGACCGGCUAACUACGUGCCAGCAGCCGCGGUAA